UGUUUUAGGCUGUGCGGUCCAAGGACUGAGUUUAUUGAUCAAAUUAAGAAUUCUUUUUGUGACAUUUGAAUGCCAAGUGGAAGUCACUAGUAAUGUCCACAUCAUCAAGCAUCUUCUUCUUCUUCUGAUCAAGACAUUACAUCUUUAUUUAUCUCAGAAUAAUGAUGAUAAUGUGAAGAACACCUUUUGUUGAAAGAGAUUGUUUGUCUAAUUGUCUAUACCAAGCCAAUCACAUCUAUAAAUUCCUUGCAUUUUAGCACAUCUAGUGGGUGAAAACGAGAUAGGAUUUAGAUUAAUUUGGCUCCAGUUGAUGGUUAGCUCACUACCAAAAAACAGGGUUUUUACGACGGCUCUAAAAUUCAAUUUGCGACGGCCUAAGGCAGUCAUGAUGUUUGUGACAGGUUAAAGCUGUCGCAAAACUUAAAAACCAUCGCAAUUUCUCGGUUUCUAGAAUUUUCUUUUACGAAAGAAAUACCGACGGCUAUUUAACAGUCGCUGUAGCGACGAGCUUUGCCUGUCGCCCAAAGAUUUCGUCGCUCAUAAGUUAAAAUUUUUAAGUUAGCCGUCGAAACAAAUCACUAAAAACUGGGCGUCAAUAUUUUAACUUUCCCUCUAAUAUUUUUAUAGAUUUUUAUUUAGCGAACUCCCUCAGAAGUCGGACCAUUGUCUAGUGUUUUCUGCCUCUCUCUCUAUCCCACUUUGGGCUCUGGUAUGUAAAUUCAAUUUCCCACAAAUCGUUCUUUACAGAUCUAUCUUCUUAAGUUCUUUUACUCAUUUUGUUAGGGUUUUUCAGACAAUUAAUAAACUGAAGAAAAAUCGACUUCUCAGAGGUACUCUCUCUGUCUCUUUAACCCAACUCAUUAUUUUCAUGAUUAAUUGAAAAAGCGAGUCAAUUUCAUUGUUGACAUAGGGUAUUGCUUUGUACUAGUUUCUUAAAAAUCUUAUCUUCUUGAUGUUAUGUUGUUUGAUAAAUCCAAAUUAGGCACUAAAUUUUUAUUAUUUUGCUUAAAUUAGGUGUAGACUUCAUGUCCAAGUUUAAUUAGGCUCAGUUGUCUUUGUCAUCCAUGGACUUUAUAUUUGUUAGGAUCUUAAUUGUGUAUUGUUUUAUUUUUUUUAAUUGUAAUUGUAAUUGUUGACAUUUGAGAGGUAGUAUUGCUCUAAAGGUUUGAAUUUUGAAUUUUUUUUAAGCUUAGGAAAAAGCUCUGUCCUGCUUAUCUUUCUUUUUUUCCCAUACCAAGUAAAUAGACGUGUCUUCACCUUUGCUAUGAGUUUGUCCACAUAUCAUUUUGUUGCUACAAGAACUCUCAUUUCUCGAUGGCAUGACUCCAAGCUCUCUGCGAUAUAAAGAACCAGAUGGAGAUGCCUUCCAUCAGUUGGUAAUAGGUUGUUUCCUAGACACUUUAAGUUGGCUAUGGUAUGGACUUUAAAAAUAAGGUAUAAUAAUGUAAGUAAUGUUCUCUUAAUUUGAAGUUUUUUCCAUAUAUAUGCUUCUAGUUACAGUGUAGUUUGUAUUUGGGUGAUGGAUUGAGAGUUCCACACUGCAGAUUAACAAAGAGCUGAAGCUGCUUUCUUGGUGAUGAUUUUUGGAGUGCAAAUGCACAUCAGAUGUUCCCAUUGAUCAGGCAUGCAUACAAUCUGAUUUGUUAAUUUUUUUCUUAAAGCUAAAUGGAUUUGCAUCUUUCUAGAAACUUUAUAUAAUAUUGCUACUAGCUUUAGAUUUCGAAGUUAUUUUCUAGAAGCUCAUGUCUUAGUUUCGAUAAUUCAUUUAAAUGUGAAGAUGCUGACCAAUAUAGUUACAUUAUCUUUGUUCACAUGUUUUCUUCCAUGAUAAAUGGCUUGAUGGUUUUGUUCUUUGUAGGUUAUCUUUUACAUCUUCCUCACCAUACAUCUUCUAGAAUUUGCAACCUGCUUAUCCAGUUUUACAUGUCACUUAUAUGUUUUUGGUGGUUUUUGGAAAUAUAUUUCUAUAAUAACUGUAUUGUGUCCACAACCACCUUGGUGACCAUGAAAAUGUAGUCAAGUUAUUCGUAAUCAAUUCUGCUUCCUAGUAGGCUACUGAUUUUUUUAUAUGCUAUAUUGUAUUAAGAGGUAAAGUUCAUUUAUUUGUAAGCAAGGAGUACAUUACCUCUAUUCAUUCAGAAGCUCCCCUAUCUAAAAUGAGAUAAUUGCAUCACAAAGUUCUUUCCAUUCUUUUGAAUCUCAAUGCCUUGUGGCUUUUGAUGUUUUCUUUUGAUAAAAAUAAAAAAGAUACCUAAGACUAUAUAUUUUCUUUUUAAAUUGCAGAGUUGGUGAUUUAGCUAACUGAUCAUGGUUUCACAGAAACUUAUAUCUUAUACUUUUCUAUUUGGAUGGCUUACCACACCUCGCUUUAAACAGGUCAGGUGGACUAUCGUUUAUGUACUGUUUUAUAGAAUUUGUAUGGUUUCUGAGUUUUACUUUUAGACUAUAGUAAUGCAUGCCAAUAUAUCAUGCCAAUAUACUGUAUGGUUUCUGAGUUUUAAUUUGUAUGGUAAAAUUUUUAAUGCAUGCCAAUAUAUCAAAUGUUGAGGUUGUUAACUCUGUGAAAUAUAUUAAGUAAAUCAUUGAGCUUGAAUUAUGUAUCAUGUGUUUGAUCAUGAUAGUAGUUUUUUAGAGUGUUUGAUCUUUCCAGUGCUCUUGGUCACCAAUUUACUUAUGUUUUGUUUGUAUGAUAACUACAUAGGUUUGUUAGUGAUGCUCACUCAAAAGGUGCAAAUAUCAUUCUCAUUCAGGUACACGUUUAGAAAGCUUGCUCUCUAUUCUUUACUGUUAUACUUGAAUUGCAUUGAGCUUCUUUAAUGGUUCUUUGUGUAGGAACUGUUUUUUCAUAUGUCAGACGUUGGUAUAUAUCUGUUUUUGUAAUAUAGUAACUCCUGGGGUGCUUGCAGUUUUGCGUGCUGUCCAUUUUUUAUUGUCAAUAGUUAAGUCGAUGACUAGAGACUGCAUCUUAUAUAUUGAUUUUUACUUUUAAACGUGUUGCAACUAAUUAUUGUAGGCGUCAGGACAUGCUCAUGGGGCUGAAGGCUCUGAAAUAUGUAGUUUUGAGGCUGCAGAGUUGAGUUUACUCUUACAAGGAACCUUAGGUAUUAAUGUGUCAUGCUUAGAUGUGAAGUAAUGAGAAUUUGAGAUGCAAGGAACAUACUUUACAAGGAAAACCUACAACAUCCAUAUGGGUAAUUAAGGUAAAUGGCACCUGUACUUUUAGUUAAUCUUUCUAACUCCUAUAAAAGUGGUUACUGUAAAACUUUAUACAGGAACUUCAAAGGGGUUGCUGCAAAUAUUUGGCGUGAUUUGUUUGCUUUUGAAGCUGAAGGGUUUUUAUGUUAAGUUCUUGAUCUCAAUCUUUAGUUCUUCAGUAGACGUGGAGUUUUGGUUGUUGUAGAUGAUUUAAAUGUAAUUUGCUUUAUAUAAUUGACAUUCAUAUUAAUUACUGACUAAAUUGUAAUUUUAUUAUUUUUGGGUAAUAAAUGUAAUUUUACUUAUAUAGUUGACAUUUAUGUUGAUGGUCAUUAUCAUUUCGAAAAUAGUACAAUCUACAGGUUUGUAUACA
rnacentral:lncRNA from 1 species